rnacentral:rRNA from 1 species
AUUGAACGCUGGCGGCAGGCCUAACACAUGCAAGUCGAGCGGGGUUUUCGGACCUAGCGGCGGACGGGUGAGUAAUGCGUAGGAAGCUACCCGAUAGAGGGGGAUACCAGUUGGAAACGACUGUUAAUACCGCAUAAUGUCUACGGACCAAAGUGUGGGACCUUCGGGCCACAUGCUAUCGGAUGCGCCUACGUGGGAUUAGCUAGUUGGUGGGGGUAAUGGCUCACCAAGGCGACGAUCCCUAGCUGGUUUGAGAGGAUGAUCAGCCACACUGGAACUGAGACACGGUCCAGACUCCUACGGGAGGCAGCAGUGGGGAAUAUUGGACAAUGGGCGCAAGCCUGAUCCAGCCAUGCCGCGUGUGUGAAGAAGGCCUUCGGGUUGUAAAGCACUUUCAGUAGAGAGGAAGGGUGUUGUGUUAAUAGCACAGCAUUUUGACGUUACCUACAGAAGAAGCACCGGCUAACUCUGUGCCAGCAGCCGCGGUAAUAC